UACGUAGGGGGCAAGCGUUGUCCGGAUUUAUUGGGUUUAAAGGGUGCGUAGGCGGCUUUGUAAGUCAGCGGUGAAAUACUCUAGCUUAACUAGAGGGGUGCCAUUGAUACUGCGGAGCUUGAGUACAGAUGAGGUAGGCGGAAUUGACGGUGUAGCGGUGAAAUGCAUAGAUAUCGUCAAGAACACCGAUAGCGAAGGCAGCUUACUGGGCUGUAACUGACGCUGAUGCACGAAAGUGUGGGGAUCAAACAGG
rnacentral:rRNA from 1 species